rnacentral:rRNA from 1 species
ACUCAAAGGAAUUGACGGGGGCUCACACAAGCGGUGGAGCAUGUGGCUUAAUUCGAGGCUACGCGAAGAACCUUAUCCUGGGCUUGACAUGUGCGAAAGCGGCAGGGAGUAGCCCGCGGAAACGUGGGGCCAACGGUAACCAGCCCGGAACCUGCCACAGGUGCUGCAUGGCUGUCGUCAGCUCGUGUCGUGAGAUGUCGGGUUAAGUCCCAUAACGAGCGAAACCCCUGUCUCCAGUUGCCAGCGUAAAGCCGGGGACUCUGGAGAGACUGCCGGUGUUAAACCGGAGGAAGGUGGGGAUGACGUCAAGUCCUCAUGGCCCUCAUGCCCAGGGCUGCACACGUGCUACAAUGGCGUGCACAGAGGGAAGCAAACGCGCGAGCGCCAGCCAAUCCCAAAAAACACGCCCCAGUUCAGAUCGAGGGCUGCAACCCGCCCUCGUGAAGGUGGAAUCGCUAGUAAUCGCGGGUCAGCAACACCGCGGUGAAUGUGUUCCUGAGCCUUGCACACACCGCCCGU